GUGAACAAUUAAGGGCGCGCGGUGGAUGCCUAGGCUCUCGGAGGCGAAGAAGGACGCGAUAAGCCGCGAUAGUCCACGGCGAGGUGCAAGUAACCCUUGACCCGUGGGUUUCCGAAUGGGGCAACCCGGCCGUCUAGAUGACGGUCAUGCAUUAUCAUGCAGGCGAACGCGGGGAACUGAAACAUCUCAUUACCCGCAGGAGAAGAAAACAAAAUGUGAUUCCCCCAGUAGUGGCGAGCGAACGGGGAAGAGCCCAAACCGGUAGCGUUUCGGCGAUACCGGGGUCAUGGGACCACGCCAUUCGAAACAAGAUGAAGUGCAAUUACCUGGAAAGGUAAGCCGCGGAGGGUGAUAGCCCCGUGCACGUCAAUUCUUGUGGAGAUAGUGGAAUCCCGAGUAGGGCGGGACACGAGAAAUCCUGCCUGAAUUCGCCAGGACCUCCUGGCAAGGCUAAAUACUCCCGAGAGACCGAUAGUGAACCAGUACCGCGAGGGAAAGGUGAAAAGUACCCCGAGCAGGGGGGUGAAAUAGACCCUGAACCCGCGCGCCUACAAGCGGUCGGAGCUGCCUUGUGCAGUGACGGCGUGCCUUUUGCAUAAUGAGCCUACGAGUUAGUCGUCACCAGCGAGGUUAAGGGCUUCAGGCCCGAUAGCCGAAGUGAAAGCGAGCCUUAACAGGGCGUUAAGUUGGUGGCGCUAGACGCGAAACCUUGUGAUCUACCCACGAGCAGGUUGAAGUCGCGGUAACACGUGAUGGAGGACCGAACCGGUAAACGUUGAAAAGUUUUCGGAUGACUCGCGGGUAGGGGUGAAAGGCCAAUCAAACUGGGAAAUAGCUCGUACUCUCCGAAAUGCAUUUCGGUGCAGCCUGUGAUGUUCUGUUCCAGAGGUAGAGCUACUGGUUGGACGCGAGGGCUUCACCGCCUAUCAAAUCCGGAUAAACUCCGAAUGCUGGAACACGAAAUCAUGGAGUGAGCCCGCGGGUGCUAAGGUCCGCGGACGAGAGGGAAAGAACCCGGACCACCGGCUAAGGUCCCGGAUGGACAGUUAAGUUGAUCAAACGAGGUGGGAUCGCGGAGACAGCUAGGAUGUUGGCUUGGAAGCAGCCAUUCAUUUAAAGAGUGCGUAACAGCUCACUAGUCGAGCGAUCCCGCGUGGAUAAUACACGGGCAUCAAACUGUCAACCGAAGCCGUGGGGUCAGCGAAAAGCUGACCGGUAGGAGAGCAUUCCUGCCAGCGUUGAAGGUCACCCGCGAGAGUGACUGGAGCGGCAUGAAAAGCAAAUGUAGGCAUAAGUAACGAUAAUGGGGGCGAGAACCCCCCACGCCGCAAGACCAAGGCUUCCCCGGCAAUGUCAAUCAGCCGGGGGUCAGCCGGCCUCUAAGGCUAACCCGAACGGGGAUGCCGACGAGAAACGGGUUAACAUUCCCGUGCUUCUCGUCACCGUGACGCGGUGACGGGGUGAUGAAUGGACCGCGCGCUGACGGAAUAGCGCGUUGAAGGCCGUACCCUUCGAGGGUGGUAGUCAAGCACGCCACCCGAGGCGAUAGCCGAUAGUACCACGAGACUCCGGUCGAGUGGAUAGCGUCCAGGCAAUUUACCCCCGAGAAAACCCGCUAAACUUCAAGUGACGAGGAACCGUACUGUAAACGGACACACGUGGUCGGGUAGAACAUACCAAGGCGCUCGAGUGAUUCAUGGUCAAGGAACUAGGCAAAAUAGUCCUGUAACUUCGGGAAAAAGGACGCUCUAGUGAUAGAGCCGCAGAGUAAUGGCCCAGGCGACUGUUUACCAAAAACACAUGGCUAUGCCAAAUCGAAAGAUGACGUAUAUGGCCUGACACCUGCCCGGUGCCGGAAGGUUAAGAGGAGAGCUCAUCGGAAACGAGAAGGUUUGAAUUGAAGCCCCGGUAAACGGCGGCCGUAACUAUAACGGUCCUAAGGUAGCGAAAUUCCUUGUCGGGUAAGUUC
rnacentral:rRNA from 1 species